UCUCCCGAGUCAACUAAACAGGAGCCGAGACAUAAUCUUCAAAUGUUGAUUGUGAUGAUGCCAAACAUUUAUGGAUGUUGAUACACCCGGAGCAGGCAAUAAUUUCUUCCAAAUCAAGUGAUGCAUCAUGCAUUCCUCAUAUGCAGUGAAGAGGCAUACGGAAACAUGCACCUGGUGCAGCUGGGAAAUAUAAUUCUCUGAUCUUUCUCCUCCUGGGGUUCAUGGCGGAUAAAAGCUGAACUACCUGAUGCUUAUCCUUGCAAGUUCCCAUCUAUUGGCUUUGUGAACAAAAUUUAUUACCCAAAUGAAGCGAAGCUCGGGCCCUACACUAGUGCACAAGAAGUUGGAAUGAUGCAUAGAACAUGGUUAAAAAGUAUUCAAGACGACCCGACACAUCAAUCUACUGUAAGCCACGGAAGCAAACUAAUAUAGAGCAAAGUUAGAAAUAUGUGAGGUCUGACUUGCAUACUAGACAAGCCAAAACCAGCACAGAUUUCUGGGCUGAUUAAUUGGGUGACAAUCACAAGAUUUAGUUGACGAAUCUAACAAAAAACUGCUAUUUAGGAAAUUCCUGUCCUUUUUGAAAUUCUUUUUUUUUUUUUGGUUAUGCGAUGCCUGUGAGGAUUUAAGUGGUUGGUUAACCAGAAGUCCAGACUUCAGAUGAGAACUAUUCUAACUAUUUGGGAAGUAUUUUAGUGACAUAAGAGAAUAGGAAACAAGUUCAUGUAUUAUGUGCAAUUUAUGUAUGAAAUUGGGCAAAUUUCUGUGGUUUUCUUAAAGUAUUAUCAACAACCAAGUGCAUUUCGAGGAGAUCAAA